UGAGUGCUCCGCAUGAAAGGAACCGCUCGGGGUCUCUGUAUAGCCGAGGCCAUUAUCAGUGGAUGGGGAAUCGACACGGGCUGUUGGAACCCUGAUGGUAUUUCUUCCUAUUAGAGGUCGUGGAUAUUACGAACCUUAUCUAAUCCAUGCUUUCCGAAAGGGUUCACCGCAUUCCCCCUAACUGGUGCAGAGCCGGUGGACCCAUAUGCAAUCUGCCAUAUUGAACGGGCACUAAGUUGGAUCUAUGACUACCCUGUAUUUUCUGUGCACGUCCGUCCAGAUCCAGUGAGAAACCAAACAACUGCUUUCGAGCCAACCAACCAACCAGUCAGAAGUGAAACAGUCCAACUGAAGACUAUGGAACCAUGGAGAUGGCGGCAAGACCACCAUUCUGUCCUUAAUAAUCAACUCGAAUAUGUAGGCUACAUAUUGUUUGAGAAAAUCAUUUCUGAGUUAAAGGGACAGUCUUCAGUUGAAACAAUUACAAAGUGGACACCCCGCCUCUGUAUUGGUUAAAAAAACGGAGGGAAGGGCCUGGAGAAAUGUAACCACUCUAAAAUGCAUAGAUAGCGCAAUGGAUGCAAGGACUGACCACCCAAUAUAUCAAAAAUAGUUUUAAGCAUGUUUUGUAGCUAAAUAUGUGUAUACCGAUACAAUUGGUUUUGGUUUGUUUGUUUACAUGUGCAAUGUUUACAAACAUUGGAGUAAAACAAGCUUAUAUUUUGGUUCUGAUGGGGU
rnacentral:lncRNA from 1 species